rnacentral:rRNA from 1 species
UACGUAGGCAGCGAGCGUUGUUCGGAGUUACUGGGCGUAAAGAGUGUGUAGGCGGUUUGCCAAGUUCGGUGUGAAAUCUCCCGGCUUAACUGGGAGGGUGCGCCGAAUACUGGCAGGCUAGAGUGCGGGAGAGGAAAGCGGAAUUCCUGGUGUAGCGGUGAAAUGCGUAGAUAUCAGGAGGAACACCUGCGGUGUAGACGGCUUUCUGGACCGCCACUGACGCUGAGACACGAAAGCGUGGGUAGCAAACAGG